CCCUAAACCCGGUAGUAACGGAAAUCCUUUUUAUUGCUUAAAACAGCAUUAAACUAUACUUAUUGCUGGCAUCGAUAAAUUGCAAUAAAAAGAUUGAAGUGCAUAACGGGGCUACAG
rnacentral:sRNA from 1 species